GAUCAUGUCUAUUUGCAUAUCGGUGUCUCUUUUGAGCGUUUGUUUGAUGGUUUUUUGAGGAUUUAUCUGAGACCAACCGGUCGAUGAUGCUUCCGACUUUGAUCGGACAUGGUUCAGAGUGUUUUACACCAUGAUAUCCGGGUGUAUCUUCGUGACCUCAACGUUUUAAGAACCUCUGUCGGUUUUGGGUGAUUUUUGGUGAGUCAUCGGUAUCUAGGGUUUUCGGUGGUUUUGACUUGCUGUUUUACCGUCUUCCGGUGGUCCGAUUCUCAUCUCGUGGAUGUUUGGGUACCUUUCCGACAUCGUUUCUCAUAUUUCCGGUGACCGACUCGACGUCUGAACCUAGGGUUUCAUACCUAGGGUUUUCACUAUCAUUUGAAGGCCGAUCUUCUUCCGGUAGCGAAGAAGGAGGGUAACUUUGUCUUAAAAUUCAAUAUUACCUGGAUAGUGAAGAAGGAGGGUAACUUUGUCUUAAAAUUCAAAAUUACGUGAUUUGUGUGUACUGAAUUGGUUUUGUAUCUGAGUAGUUGGCUUUGUGUGUGGUUACUUGAUUUGUUACACUCUGGUUGUUGAACCUGUUUUCUUUGUUGAUGUGUCAUGGCUGUUAAUACCAAUACUGGUAUUUUGGACUCUAGCAGUCCUCUAUUUCUAUACUCCUCCGAUGUUCCCGGGGUAUCUCUUGUCCCCACUCCCUUCUCGGGUG
rnacentral:lncRNA from 1 species